UGGCGUACUCGGAGGACGGCAUCGUCCGGCUGCCGUCCGGGGCGCAGUGGCAGAAGGUGGUCAAGGACGGCUCGGCCCCGGUGUAUCCCGGC
rnacentral:tRNA from 3 species